rnacentral:rRNA from 1 species
AAUCAACGCUGGCGGCGUGCCUAACACAUGCAAGUCGCACGAGAAAGGGGCUUCGGCCCUGAGUACAGUGGCGCACGGGUGAGUAACACGUGAAUCAUCUACCUCCGAGUGGGGAAUAACCUAGGGAAACCUGGGCUAAUACCGCAUAACACUUACGAGUCAAAGCAGCAAUGCGCUUGGAGAGGAGUUCGCGGCAGAUUAGCUAGUUGGUGGGGUAAUGGCCCACCAAGGCGAUGAUCUGUAUCCGGCCUGAGAGGGCGCACGGACACACUGGAACUGAAACACGGUCCAGACUCCUACGGGAGGCAGCAGUGGGGAAUUUUGCGCAAUGGGGGAAACCCUGACGCAGCAACGCCGCGUGGAGGAUGAAGUCCCUUGGGACGUAAACUCCUUUCGACUGGGAAGAUAAUGACGGUACCAGGAGAAGAAGCCCCGGCUAACUUCGUGCCAGCCGCCGCCGUAAC